CUAUGAUUGUAAAUAUACAGGGUGUUUCAUUUUAACUGACGCAGUCGAUUUUCUCGGUCACUGUUGGAAAUACAAAUAAAUCUGUUCAGAGAUGUUCUUCAUAGCUCAAAGGGAGACAUGUUAUGGUGACAUUUGCGAAUCUGUCAAGGUUGCCCUUCAAGGUCAGUUCAAGGUCAACUUCAUUUUCUUAAAUGGGUCGACCUGAAUUUUAUUUCAUAUUUGAAUUUUGCGUAAAAUUCUACAUUCUUUCAACUAUUAAUUUCUUAUUUUUACUUUGAAAAAAAAAAAAAUCCGCUUUUUUUAAGGUCAAGAUUUUUUUCUGCUCAAAGAUACAUGUGUGACAUAUCAGUCUAAAGCCCUCAUCAUUCUAAAUCAAAUGGUAUGCCCGAAAAAUCGCCGGACGAUCUAAAUAUUACGUAGGUACUGACACACCCUGAAACCAUGGGGGAGGGGUGGAAAAAAAUUGAAAAAAAAGAAGAAAAAAGCAUACAGCGAUUUUUUUAAAGCAUACCAUUUAGAAUAAUUUGAGCUUUAGUUUGAUAUGCCACAAAUGUAUCUUUAAGCCAAAAAAAUUCCCGACCUUAAAAAAGCGGAAUUUUUUUAAAAGUAAAAAUAAGAAAUUAAUAUUUGAAAGAAUGUAGAAUUUUACGCAGAAUUCAAAUAUGAAAUAAAAUUCAGACCGUCCCAUUUAAGAAAAUUAAGUUGACCUUGAACUAACCCUGAAGGGUAACUUUGACAGGUUGGCAAAGGUCACCUUAACAUAUCCCCCUUUGAGCUAUGAAGAACAUCUCAGAAUAGAUUUUUUGUAUUUCCAACAGUGACCGAGAAAACCGACUGCGUCACUUAAAAUGAAAC
rnacentral:lncRNA from 1 species